rnacentral:lncRNA from 1 species
CUCAGUCUCCGGCAUCACAUGGUCUUGGCAUUCUGCUUUCCCUCUCUGGGCCUCAGUUUCCCCCCACAGGCAAAGGGAGGAAGGAAUCCCUGUGUUCACACCCAGAGGGCAGUGAGAUGAAGUAAUGCAGCCAGCUUCGCUGAGCACCCGUUCCAGCCUUUGGCUGUGCCUGGGAUCCCUGCAGCCAAGGGGUCCAGUCUGCUGGCCUUAGCCGCUCAGCCCUGAAACACUUCCACUCCUCUUUGGGUGAAUAAAAGAAGGCAGUGACAAUCUACACCUUAGGACGGUUGUUUGGAGUAAAAGGGAAAGAAGCUGACAGAGGUGUGAUGUGGUGCGGCUGCGGCUGUGGCCAUGUCCCGUGUGUGGCCCAGGACUGCCCAUCCACGUGGGGACCUCCGUGUCUGUCUGCGUUCCAGGAAUUUGGAGACUUCUUGGGCCCCCAGCAGGUGAAGGACCUGCUGCUGGCAGCCGUGGAAGGGCUGAGUGGCGGCGUGGAGGCUCAGGGGAAGGACUCCGGGGAGACGAUGCAGCUGCCCUCAGAGGUCAUGCUCAACUCCGUGCUGAGGUGGUACCACCUCAGAACACUGGUGGUGAUCCCAGAAAUCAUGCAGGGCAUCCACGUGCAGCUGAGCCACAUCCAGGAGCCACGCGCCCGAGAGGUGGCCCUGCUUCCCGUCUCCUUCCUGGCCAGGUCCUUCAUGACUGAGGUCGUGGUGGCCCUGCUCAAGUGUCCCCUCCCCCUGAACAGCAGUGGAGCCGAGAUGUGGAGGCAGCUGAUCCUGCCCAAGCCCAGCUGUGGCGCUGCUGGAGACCUCCUGGAUCUGCUGCUGAGCACCCUGAAGGAGAAGCCAGUCACCAAGGAGGGCCAGGCCUCCACUGCGCCCCUGGCGGCAGCCAGUGGCCUGUGUGAGCUCCUGUCCAUCAACAGCUUCGCCAGGUGUGUGAGGUGCAUCUACCCCCAACUGCUCCUGGCCCUGCUCAUUCAGGUCCAUUACCACAUCGGCCUCAAGUUGCCUGGCCACAGGGUUCCUCACAAGGACACCAAGAACCAAGCACAGCCUCCCGCCUUCGUACC